UAAGGAAUAUUGGUCAAUGGACGCAAGUCUGAACCAGCCAUGCCGCGUGAAGGAUGAAGGUCCUCUGGAUUGUAAACUUCGUUUAUGUGGGAAGAAACCACUCUUAUCUAAGGGUGUUGACGGUACCAUAGGAAUAAGCACCGGCUAACUCCGUGCCAGCAGCCGCGGUAAUACGGAGGGUGCAAGCGUUAUCCGGAUUCACUGGGUUUAAAGGGUGCGUAGGCGGGUCAGUAAGUCCGUGGUGAAAUCUCCAAGCUUAACUUGGAAACUGCCGUGGAUACUAUUGACCUUGAAUGUUGUGGAGGUUAGCGGAAUAUGUCAUGUAGCGGUGAAAUGCUUAGAUAUGACAUAGAACACCAAUUGCGAAGGCAGCUGGCUACACAAAUAUUGACGCUGAGGCACGAAAGCGUGGGGAUCAAACA
rnacentral:rRNA from 1 species